rnacentral:rRNA from 1 species
AGAGUUUGAUCAUGGCUCAGGAUGAACGCUAGCUACAGGCUUAACACAUGCAAGUCGAGGGGAAACGACAUCGAAAGCUUGCUUUUGAUGGGCGUCGACCGGCGCACGGGUGAGUAACGCGUAUCCAGCCUGCCCAUCACUUGGGGAUAACCUUGCGAAAGUAAGACUAAUACCCAAUGACGUCUCUAGAAGACAUCUGAAAGAGAUUAAAGAUUUAUCGGUGAUGGAUGGGGAUGCGUCUGAUUAGCUUGUUGGCGGGGUAACGGCCACAAGGCGACGAUCAGUAGGGGUUCUGAGAGGAAGGUCCCCCANAUUGGAACUGAGACACGGUCCAAACUCAUACGGGAGGCA